GACGAACGCUGGCGGCGUGCUUAACACAUGCAAGUCGAACGGAAAGGCCCUGCUUUUGUGGGGUGCUCGAGUUGCUAACGUGUGAGUAACACGUGUGUAACCUGCCCUUUACUUUGGGAUAACUUCAGGAAACUUGGGCUAAUACCGCAUAUUCGCUCCUGCUGCAUGGUGUGGGUUGGAAGGUUUCGGCGGUUGGGGAUGGACUCGCGGCUUAUCAGCUUGUUGGUGGGGUAGUUGCUUACCAAGGCGUUGACGGGUAGCCGGCCUGAUAGGGUGACCGGCCACAUUGGGAAUGAGAUAAGGCCCAGAAUCAUAGGGGAGGCAGCAGUGGGGAAUAUUGCACAAUGGGCGGAAGCCUGAUGCAGCAACGACGGGUGCGGGAUGACGGACUUCGGGUUGUAAACAGCUUUCGACUGUGACGAAGCGUGAGUGACGGUAAUGGGUAAAGAAGCACCGGCUAACUACGUG
rnacentral:rRNA from 1 species